CUCAACUCUGCAAAAGUCAGCCAAAUAUGCUUUCUCCAAUUGGGACAGAUGCCUUCAUCUCUCUCGACGGUGGUAUUAUUCUGCUCGCCGAGCCUCACGAUUUAUUCCAAAAGUUGAACUCGGACCUUCUUAUAUAAGAAGCAAGUGGUAACUCGCCGUAACUCUCAAGCAGCCAACUGUUAGACUGAAAACAACACCAGUUAACUCUGUGUGAUUCAUGUCUUUUAAAUUAUUACUUUUGUCAAACAUUGUUCAAACCACUUCAUUUAACUGACUGCGAGUGGAGGAAAUUGAAUUGAGUGGAAAUUAGCCCAGAUAACUUACGUACACUCUACCUUUUAUGAAAACACGCUGCUGUUGGUUCAUAUUAAUGAUUAUGUAUAAAGAUGAAUUUUGAUAUAAAGAUGUUAAAAAUGUAGCUCCAUUUGGAUAAUAAAUUCAAAAUAUUUGUAUUA